GUUCCGGGCCCCUGGAGGGGAAGCGGUUCUCGCAGACCGCUGCAGAGGACGGUCCCCACGACUGUCGAGGCCCACCAGCUGCUCCGCGCGUCCCCUAACGGUCGUUGUUAGCCUGUUCGCCUUGCACAUUCUGAGAGGGAAUGUAUUCAGGCAAACGCCAGUCUCGUGGAGGGUGUUUCAUCGUCUCCACUGGCCUAUGAGCUCCCCGCGGCUCACACAGACCCACCGGGCCCACCAGGGAGGACCCAGGCAAGGCUGCAGCACCACGGGUCUCGGAACAGCACCCUCCGGGGCAGUGGCCCGUUCUCCCCGUGUGGCGGGACUCGCCCUCUGCAGGCGCCAGCCCGGCCGUGCCUUGGCUGCCCUGGCGCCACCCCCACUCUGGGGGAAUGAUCCUCCUUCGAGCCAGUCUGGUGAGGUGCCCCGAUCGGAAAGCUGCCCUCGCCUCCUCCUUGGCAUGCUUCAGUGUCUCAGGGGACGGACGGAGUCCAGAGCUCUGGCCUGGGAGGGGGCGACACGCGUCAGCUUCCGCGGGUGCGUCCUGGGACUCGGGGGGGGGGGGGGGGGGCCCAGGGCUUCAGCCCACUUGUGGGGUUGGUAAUGUUCUUGGGAGAGACUCACCCUUUGUAGGUGGGGUGGGCCAAGCCCGGCCGCAGCUCGGGGGCCAGAACAACAAGACGUUGUGUGAGCAGGACACAGUCUUGACACUUGAGGAUUUAUCCUUGGGCGAUAAAUAAAGCAUGGGUUUCAAGCUCUUUCACUUUA